rnacentral:misc_RNA from 1 species
CUUCCAUGGAAGAUUGUGACCUCUUCUGUGAAGUUGAAGGUUUUGGUCUCUUUGGAAGCCCUUAUUGCAGAUUUCGCAAAUGAAUCGGUUUGUUGCCAUGAGAGAUUUUGGCGAUAAGGCAAUUACUUCGGCAUCUGGAUCUGCUUGAAACAAAGAAAUAAAACCCAGAGAGAAAAUAACUAGAAACAAUCAUGCAGGAAAGAAAAAAAAAAUUGCAUAUUUGAUUUAUAAAGUUAGGUAGGUGAAGAUAGAUGAGCUUGCCUGGUGUUCCCGGUAAAUUUCUCCUCUUCUUCACUGAAUUUGUAGUAGGGUUAGGGUUAGGGUUUGGAGUUGGUUCUUGAUGAACAAAGCCUCUGAAGGUAGAGGAGGGAACAGAAAACCCAUCUUCAGACAUCAUUGUAAUUGGUAUACUGAAGCUGAAAGAAAGUGGGUUGAGUCCUAAACUAGCUAAAAGAGAAGAAGUAACUUGAGGGAGAGGUAGAGCAGUAGCUACCAAAUUAAACCAAGAAAUAAAAUAAAAACAAAAGCUUCACUGCUCAGCAUAAUCCCAACAAAUCUCUCAAAAAUUCUUCCCCUCUAAAAGAAAGAAUCCCAAUUUAGACUUGUCUUCAAUUCCUUAAAUUGCACCCUUACCUUAAUUCAAAACUCAUGUUUGCUUUGCUUCCCUUGAAGCCAAGACAAAUACACCAAACAAAACGACACUGCUAACUAUAGAUAGAAUAUUUCUCUCUCUCUCUCUCUCUCAAUCAACAGUGCAUUAAUUGGUCGGUUAACAGGAGACAGGAGUGAUUUGGUCAUUCAGUCAUACAUCUUCUUCCCCUCUUGGUGUUGAAGGGCAUAUAGGUUGCAUGAAUUGCUUUGAUUUCAAAUGUUCAAAUUUGCUGGGUUGGGUUGGGUUAAUUUGAGUGCAGGUGCUCUUCUACAUUGAUUGGUGGCAUACUCCAUAUCAACUAAAUUAAUCAUUCAUUAAUCCUGACCUAAGAGGUCCACGAAAGCAGUAUUUGAAAUGGCAAAUUAUUCAUAUAUUGUGGAUACAAUACAAUAUUAAGAACUUGCUUGCAAAUGAACAGUUAUCUAAUGAAAUGGCCUCUUUUCUAAUCUUAAUGAUCUGGGAUAGAAGUUUAAAUAAAUGAGCUACAGAAGGUAAGGAAAAAUGCAAAGCAAUAAUAUUGAUUUUCUUUAGUAUUGAUUACAACAUUUACAAGCUCUGGCGGAGAGCCGGAGAUGCUUUACAAAUAUAUUCUUCCUUCAUUAGUAUGAACGCAACCAUUCGCUAUGGACUUGGGGCACUGGCAUCAAUGGAAUUCGAUCAAUAUUCGAGCUCUUCGAUGGCAUUUAGAAAAUUUGCCAAGUCCAAGAAUUUUGAAAUGGGAUUAUCCAUCAGGUUUAUCUCGUUAAUUUUCAUUUCCUUUCCAAUCAAUCAUUCCAACUCUUCUCUAUAUAUAGGCUCGUGAAUGGGAAGGCUGCGCUGUGUACUAAAGAUCAACCUACACAAAAGUUAAUCCAAUAUUUUCUCACCAGUCGAAAAGAGGUUCCAGACAACGGUUCCAACCAAGUACAGCCCAACUGAAACCUUGAAAACAUCAUCCCAAGAACCAUGUUGCAAGAUGUAACCAGUAGCUGCUGUUCCAAAAACCCCUGCUAGUACUCCAGCAGUAUUGGAUAAACCAAGCAACACUCCAGAAUAUCUAGGUGCAAUAUCUUGAUGAUUUGAAUAUAGACCAGACUGUGAAAAUGCGUCAGUACCCUGACUACAUGCCAUGCACAGCACAGCCAUUGCAGGAGAAUUAACAUGGCUCAACUGAGUUAGGAAAAAUGCAGGGCCAAGAAACCCAAUUGUUUGCAUGAUCUUGCGAACUGUUGUCACAGAUAAACCUUUGCUCACAAGUGUAUCAGCAAUCCACCCUCCAAGAUUUGCAGAAAAAGCCAUUGUAAGCCAGGGCAAAACACACAAAAGCCCAGAUUCCGUAAGAUUGAACUUCAGGACCUAUAUGGCCGAACAGAAAAAGAAAUAAGAAAGAAAAUUAGGAUCUACAGUUUUUGCAACAGUAAAUUGCGCAAACUGCACCUUCUCUUUUACAAAAUGUCAAUAAUAACAUUUACUGAAAGAUGCAUUAACUGUGCUUAAAGAAUUACAAACAAAAAUGGGCGAGAAGAAACUAGUAACUUUAAGAGUACUGGCGCAAUGAUCAGCUACAAGAUACUUUAUCUGAAAGUAAAAGAACUGCGUACUAUCAUGCAUGCAUUUGUUUCGUUAUCCUGUAAGUUACACAUUGCACUUUGGGAAAAUAAUCAUCCACAAGAUAAUUUACAGUCCCUGCCAAAUCCAUAGAGUCCUUGCCAAAUCCAUGGUUUUCAAAGGGUUCCCUCUUAAUAAGCAGAUCAAUUGCUCCAUAUUGAACAUUCAGGAUCGGCCAUUGCCCAUCAGAUAAUCCCACCAUAAGGUUCUCUUUUCAUGCAAAUGACAAUUGAUUUUCCUUUGACCAUGGAAGUACAUUACAUGUGGCAAAAAAGUUUAUUGAUUCUCCUAAAGCCAAAUAACUGCAGCAAACAUCAGUGAGGCAAACUGCUGGCCUGGUUGCGAUAUGGAUAGUUUAGACUGAAAAUUAUAGGGGAUAAUUGAUAGAGGAACUACUUGUUAUUGUUUUCUAACAGGCUUACAGCCUCGAAACAUAUGUUAGGAUGGAAAGGAAGACUUACUUGGUUAUAAUAUGUUGGCAUCCAUGUCUGAAGAAUAAAUGUACCCCAAUUGUGACAGAAGUGAGAGACUAUUAGGGCCCAUACAGGUGCUUUCGACAAGAUUAAUCCCCAAGGUAUUGUUUUGACAGGUUCCUUGGAAACACUGUUUGCAACAAUCAGCUGUUUUUCUUCUGGCCGAAGCUGAGGAUCUUCAAGAGGUGAACUGUACGACUUAUUUAACCAUGCAGCAAACCAAACUGUCCCUAGAGAACCAAAGGAGUAAAAUACCGAUGGCCAUCCAAAUUGAUGUAUUAAGAAUGGAGAGAAAGUCAGGCCAGUAACUGAUCCAAGGUACAUGCCACUGUAAACCAGGGCUAAUGAUCUACUCCUCUCAGAUACAGGAACCCAUUUGGACGGAAUAUUAUUCAUGGCAGGCAUAGCAACACCCUCACCAAUGCCCAUGAAAGCACAAACGACAAGGAGAAGAGGCAACCCAACUUUUGCGGCAAUAGGGGUCAGAACUGUAGCAAUGGACCACCAAACUUCGCCAAAUGCCAAAACCAGCUUCCCACCAACCGUGUCAGCCCAUAUGCCACCAGCAAUCUGUCACUGGCAACUAAUUGGUUAAGAAAAUAAAGAUUAUGUUCAUAGGUUGUGAAACCACUUUGCAUAUUUUCCCCUUCUAUGAGAAAAGAAAAAUGCAAUACUAACCUUAAAUGUGAAUUCUAAGAGGACGUAAUUUUAGAUAAUGAUUUGUGACCAAGAAAAAUACUAGUUAAUUAAGAGAAAGCUAUAUCACCUAGGUGAGGAGGUAUCCCCAGAAAAAGGAAGAUUGGAUCAAAACAACUGUGGCCGGGUUCCAAUUGAACUCCGCAGACAUGGGAAGUAUGGCAAUGCUCAUAUUUACCUGCCAAUCGAAUCUGCUCAAACUUACUAUAAAUUCUUAACAGCUAGCAUUGUAAAAAUUAUGGCAUUGGCAAUGAGAGAUUUAGCAGUUUCUCCUACUCAUAUUGAAAAAGGUGAAAGAACUGCCAAGCCCUCCAUCACACAUUCGGGUAAAGAAAAGUAAAAUGGCCCAUCUCUUGAAGUUUGAGCUAAAAAGAAAGAUUUAAGGGAGGCAAAAGAAUUUUAAUAAAAUAAAAUAAAAUUGGAUGGCUAAUCGUUGCACUUCCUAAUGUUGCAAAUGGAUAACAAAGUAGAUGAAAUAACAGUUUCAUAUUCCACCGAUUAUUUAAAGAGUUGUAGUAAAUCUUUCAAGACUAAUUUCAUUCUACUUGAAAGAUUAAAUAGAGAACAGUCAAUUAUUCAAUUUAUUGUAUACUGCAUAGCCAAAGAGAGAAUAAGUUCAUAUUUGAGCAAGAAAUGAAACAUACUCUAUCCAUAUUGCAGAGAA